UUGCGUUUCUGACUAAUGUCAUUUUUGACACGUCUCCCACUAUGUUGUUGAGCGGUAUCCUAGCAACUGGAGGCAGUGGUGCUUGUCUGUUUCCACGGAAACCGACUAACUGCUAACGUUGAUCGGUAGCUAGAUCGGGGUUCUCUAACAAAAUAGAAGACCAUUUCAAAUAGCUGCGUUUCAGGACUUUGCCAGUCCCACACAGCUGCUACCAUGGGGGUAGCGCUGACCAGAGCAGCGCAAUGGACCACAGCAAGUUCUGGGAUUGGAAAACUGGAGAUCACUCCAGUCAACGAGUCUCUGCUGAAAGAGAUCCUGGAGUUUGUGGAACAGUUCAGCUCCAGACACCCUCAGGAGGCUAAGCAUGUGUUCAAGGAGCCGCUCCAGUGGACUACCUCUUUGGAGGCUUCUGAUUUCAAAACAGAGUAUGACAUAAGUGGCCCCGCUGUAAAGUCACAGGAAACAGACAGGGAUGGGCAUCCUAUGUUGCAGCUCACCCCUCCGAGCAUUUCUGUGCACAGCUUCAGUCAGCUGUCCAAAAUAGUGCAGCUGGCAACGGAUAAGAAGCUCAAGGAGGUCCGAGCUUGCCUGGAAGCCAACAGAGACCCUGUUGCGAAGAUGCUGGGACCUAGCUUCGCCACAGUGGAGGGGGAGGACAGCUCUGUGCUGCGUCUCCUGGAGAAGGUAAAGGAGGGGGACCAGGCCAAGGAGACUGAGAUCAAAGUGAAGCUGCUCAUCCUACUGCAGCAGCUGGACACUCAGCUCCUCAGCAACUCCCUCAAGCAGAUCUCCCAGGAUGUUAGGCUCAGUCCUGCCACAGUGAAGAAUGAUGUUGAGCUGCUGAAAAGCUUCUGCAGUAAAGGGGAGAAAAGGGUGUUGACGUCUGUUCAAUACACAUCAGAUUAUGAGUUCACCAAUGGCUGUCGAACUCCUCCUUGGAGGCAGGUGCAUGGUGAGAUUUGCUACCUAGUGAUAAAGCCGUGUGACACUCAGCCCCUGCACAUCACCUGCAGCACAGCUGGAGUCUUUCUCAACGGGGGCAUCAGGCAGGAGGGUGAGGAAAAUGCCUAUGACAGAACAAGCGAGGUCUACAAAGACCUGGCAACCCUUCUGAAAAGCACGUCUCCCCAUUUUGCAGAGAACAUAAAUAAACAGGAUUUUGCCGUUCAAGAAGAACCUCCAACACUAAAGGUCCAACAUGUGGAAUUGGUUGAUGCAGAGGAACAAGGCCAACCCCAGAGGUCUUACGAGCAUCACGAAAAGAAUGUGCAUGAGAAGGCGAGACAACAGCUUGUGCAAAACAAGCCAGGCGGCAAAAAGAAAUUAGAACCAUCUUUGAAAUGGAAGAACCUCGGUCUCGCAUCUCCCUAUGAUGAAGCAGAUGACAAGAAAUCGAAAAAGAAUGCAGUGAGUGAAAAGUUUGCCGAGACGCAGGAGAAGAUGCAGAAGAAAGCCGAUUUCUCUGUGUCCUCCUUACCUGGUCGGCAGUCGUCUAAUAAAACUAAGACCCCGGGAGGAGUUGGUGGCGCCGAUGACUUCAGUGAGAGUUCAUCGGAGAGUGAGGAGGAUGAGGAGCAGCCAGAGCGCCGCACGGAGAGCAACACAGACCUGCCCUCAGAGUACUGGCAGAUGCAGAAACUGGUCAAGUACCUCAAGGGAGGCAACCAGACGGCCACUGUGAUUGCUCUGUGCUCCAUGAGGGACUUUAAUUUAGCCCAGGAGACGUGCCAACUGGCCAUCCGGGAUGUAGGUGGCCUUGAAGUCCUCAUUAACUUGCUGGAUACAGAAGAAAUCAAAUGCAAAAUUGGCUCUCUGAAGAUUCUGAAGGAGAUCAGCCGUAACUCUCAGAUCCGCCGGGCCAUCGCUGACCUGGGGGGCCUGCAGACCAUGGUGAAGAUCUUGGACUCCCCAGACAAGGACCUAAAAUACCUGGCCGCAGAGACCAUCGCCAACGUGGCCAAGUUCAGACGGGCCAGGAGGACAGUCAGACAGCACGGAGGGAUCAAGAGACUGGUGGAGUUACUAGACUGCGUGCCUGACUCGGCGGCCCUGACAGAGGAGCAGGAGAAGGACGUGGAGGUGGCUCGCUGCGGGGCCCUGGCCCUCUGGAGCUGCAGUAAGAGCACCAGGAACAAAGAGGCCAUCCGCAAGGCUGGGGGCAUCCCUCUGCUGGCUCGCCUGCUCAAGUCUCCCCACGAGAACAUGCUGAUCCCUGUCGUGGGAACCCUGCAGGAGUGUGCCUCCGAGAGAAGUUACAGGAUUGCCAUCCAGACAGAGGGUAUGAUCGAGGACUUGGUGAAAAACCUCAACUGUGACAACCAAGAGCUACAGAUGCACUGCGCCAGUGCCAUCUUCAAGUGUGCAGAAGACAAGCGUACCCGUGACCUGGUGCGUCAGUGCGAGGGCCUGCAGCCCCUGGUGACUCUGCUGAGCCAGGCAGACAACAAACAGCUCCUGGCUGCCACCACCGGGGCCAUCUGGAAGUGCUCCAUCAGCAUGGAGAAUGUGGCUAAGUUCCAGGAUUACAAGGCCUUGGAGACCCUGGUGGGUCUGCUGACAGACCAGCCUGAGGAGGUGCUGGUGAACGUGGUCGGCGCCCUGGGCGAGGGGGCCCAGAAACCUGCCAACAGGGCCACCAUCAGGAAGUGUGGAGGCAUCCAGCCCCUGGUCAACCUGCUGACGGGAACCAACCAGGCCCUGCUGGUCAACGUCACCAAGGCUGUGGGAGCCUGCGCCACCGAGCUUGAGAAUAUGACGAUCAUUGACCGUCUGGAUGGAGUGCGUCUGCUCUGGUCCUUGUUGAAAAACCCAAACCCAGAUGUCCAGGCCAGCGCUGCAUGGGCCAUUUGUCCAUGCAUUGAAAAUGCAAAGGAUUCAGGGGAAAUGGUGCGCUCCUUUGUCGGUGGAUUGGAACUGAUUGUUAAUUUGCUGAAAUCAACAAACAAAGAGGUACUGGCGAGCGUGUGUGCCGCCAUAGCCAAAAUAGCCAAAGACGAAGAGAAUCUGGCAGUCAUCACUGACCACGGGGUUGUACCGAUGCUGGCCAAGCUGACAAACACAACUGAUGAUAAACUGCGUCGUCACCUGGCUGAGGCGAUUGCCCGUUGCUGCAUGUGGGGCAGUAACAGGGUGUUGUUUGGGGAGGCGGGGGCCGUGGCCCCCCUCGUCCGUUACCUGAAGUCCAAGGACUCCUCAGUCCACCAGGCCACAGCUCAGGCCCUUUUCCAGCUCUCCAAGGACCCCAACAACUGCAUCACCAUGCACGACAACGGAGUGGUCAAGCUCCUGUUGGGUAUGAUGGGCUCCACUGACGAGGUCCUUCAGGAAGCUGCCGCUGGCUGUGUGGCUAACAUCCGCCGCCUGGCCCUGGCCAAUGAAAAGGCACGGUACGGUUAAACAACCACAAUGAACCCUCCCCCCCAGAAGCUACUGUGACCUCAUCAUCACUUUCUGGAUACCCCACCACUGUUCCUGAGAGUGAAGCAGUUUAGAGCAUGUACUGUGCAGUCACAUUCCUUACGCGAUCCACACGAGACACUGAUAUCUAAACAAGACCACAUCUGGCUGUGUUACUCACUUCAACACAAGCACCUUAAAACUGUAAAUAUGUCUGCGAAACACAGACACAACCUCCAAUGAGCCAUUGAGAGAUAUUGGGAACAUAAUGCAUUGUUGGGUCAGUAUAUUAUAUGAGCUGAGCUUAUUUGCUCAACAGUGGGUCUGUCUGUAUGCAACUCAAGAUACUCAGAAAUUCAAUCAACGUUGACAUAAACGGGCAAAAUACAGCGAUAACAUUGCAUAAUGCAAUAAAGGUCCCUCCUGCACUAUAAAUAUGAAUCUAAACAUGUAAUUGGUACACGCAGUUUCCUAUGAAUCACAAUUACUUAAUGUAUGUUCCUGUUGCAUUAUGGGUAGGCAUAGUCAUUAUAAGUAAUUGGGAAAAUGUAUGUAUAUACAGUACAAGUCAAAAGUUUGGACACACCUAUUCAUUCAAAGGUUUUUCUUUAUUUUUACUAUUUUCUACAUUGUAGAAUAAUUGUGAAGACGUCGAAACUAUGAAAUAACACAUUUGGAAUCAUGUAGUAACCAAAAAAGUGUUAAACAAAUCAAAAUAUAUUUUUUAUUUUUCUAUGUAGCCAUUAGCCACCCUUUGCCUUGAUGACAGCUCUUGGCAUUCUCUCAACCAGCUUCAUGAGGUAGUCACCUGGAAUGCUUUUCCAACAGUCUUGAAGGAGUUCCUACAUUUUGCUGAGCUUCAUUCUGCGGUCCAACUCAUCCCAAACCAUCUGAAGUUGUUCUAGACAGCUGAAUCUGGUAAUGAAUGGUGUGGCUGUUGAACAAGUUGAGGAGACUAAAUGACUUGCUGUUACUUUAGAUUGUAAACUGUCACGGUCAAAACAUAUAGAUUCAAUGGUUGUAAAGAUGUGGAGAGGUCUGUCCGUAAUAAAGAGAUGCUCUGCGUUUUUGACACCACACUCCAAAAAGCAAGUUCUGCAGGCUCUAGUUUUGUCUAAUCUUGAUUAUUGUCCAGUUGUGUGGUCCAGUGCUGCAAGGAAAGACCUAGUUAAGCUGCAGCUGACCCAAAACAGCGCGGCACGUUUUGCUCUAAAUUGUUAUCAGAGGGCUGAUUAUAAAUACUAUGCAUGCCAGUCUCUCUUGUUAAGAGUUGAGGAGAGACUGACUGCAUCACUUCUUCUUUUUAUAAGAAACAUUAAUGUGUUGAAAAUCCCAAAUUGUUUGCAUAGUCAACUUACACACAGCUCUGACACACACACUUAUCCCACCAGACAUGUCUUUUCACAGUCCCCAAAUCCAGAACAAAUUCAAGAAAGCGUACAGCGUUAUAUAGAGCCCUCAUUGCAUGGAACUUCCAUCUCAUAUUGCUCAAAUAAACACCAAACCUGGUUUCAAAAAACAGAUAAAGCAACACCUCGCGGCACAACGCCUCUCCCCUAUUUGACAUAGAUAGUUUGUAUAUGCAUCGAUAUGUAGACUACGUGUGCCUUUAAAAAAAAAUAUGUAGGUCUGUUCUUGAGCUGUUCUUGUCUUGAUGUUCUGUAUUAUGUUUCAUGUUUUGUGUAGACCCCAGGAAGAGUAUCUGCUGCUUUUGCAACAGCUAAUGGGGAUCCUAAUAAAAUACCAAAUACCAAAAUUGGGUUGAGGUCGGGUGAUCUCCUUCUUCGUCAAAUAGCCCUUACACAGCCUGGAAGUGUGUUUUGGGUCAUUGUUCUGUUGAAAAACAAAUGAUAGUCCCACUAAGCCCAAACCAGAUGGGAUGGCGUAUCGCUGCAGAAUGCUGUGGUAGCCAUGCUGGUUAAGUGUGCCUUGAAUUUAAAAAAUAAAUCACAGACAGUGUCACCAGCAAAGCACCUCCUCCUCCAUGCUUCACGGUGGGAACCACACAUAUGGAGAUCAUCCUUUCACCUACUCUGCGUCUCACAAAGAUACGGCGGUUGGAACCAAAAAUCUCCAAUUUGGACUCCAGACCAAAGGACAAAUUUCCACCGGUCUAAUGUCCAUUGCUCGUGUUUCUUGGCCCAAGCAAGUCUCUUCUUAUUGGUGUCCUUUAGUAGUGGUUUCUUUGCAGCAAUUCGACCAUGAAGGCCUGAUUCACGCAGUCUCCUCUGAACAGUUGACGUUGAGAUGUGUCUGUUACUUGAACUCUGAAGCAUUUAUUUCGGUUGCAAUUUCUGAGGCUGGUAACUCUAAUGAACUUAUCCUCUGCAGCAGAGGCAACUCUGGGACUUCCAUUCCUGUGGCGGUCCUCAUGAGAGACAGUUUCAUCAUAGCGCUUGAUGGUUUUUGCGACUGCACUUGAAGAAACUUUCAAAGUUCUUGACAUUUUCUGUAUUGACUGACCUUCAUGUCUUAAAGUAAUAAUGAGCUGUCCUUGCAUACCUUAAUGGACUUGGUAGGGCUAUCUUCUGUAUACCCCCCUACCUUGUCACAACACAACUGAUUGGCUUAAACGCAUUAAGAAGGAAAGGAAUUCCACAAAUUAACUUUUAACAAGGCACACCUGUUAAUUGAAAUGCAUUCCAGGUGACUACCUCAUGAAGCUGGUUGAGAGAAUGCCAAGAGUGGAUAUUUGAAGAAUCUCAUAUAUAAAAUAGAUUUUGAUUUGUUUAACAAUGUUUUGGUUACUACAUGAUUCCAUAUGUGUUAUUUCAUAGUUUUGAUGUCUUCACUAUUAUUCUACAAUGUAGAAAAUAGUUAAAAUAAAGAAAAUCCCUUGAAUUAGUAGGUGUUCUAACUUUUGACCAGUAGUGUAUAUACACACCUCAGAACCAAAACCCUAGUGUGGCUUCUGCUCGACAAUACCCUUUAAAUGACUCAUAAACAACUGGAUUUUUUUCUUCCAUUAAAGACAAUAACUGCUCAGCUGCUUUUUCAUACAAAUAAUGACAUGAACUUAAAAAAGAGAGAAUAGAUUGCUUUUUAUUGAAGAGAAUACAAAACAUAACAAAAGAGAAGGGAUUGGAUGAGAAUGGAUUGCUGCUUAAGCUCAGACAUCCCUAUCACUGUAGUAGGAAACUUGAUGAGUGAGUGUGUUCUCCUUCUCCUUUACCACCUCCAUCUUGUGUCCUUAGAAAAAACAAACAUGUCAGUUUUCAUUGUUUCACCCGCAACCUGGACUCAGGGGUAGAUGUAGUAUAGUAAACAAAAAUCUGGGACACUCAAAUUUGUAUGAUAUGUACAGUCAACAUUCCUGCCAGUUCUUCUCUACGGUGACACCAUUUAUGGGAAUGCAGCAGCCACUACACUUAAACCUUUGGAUUCCCUGGUGCCACUAGGGCAGUUUAAAACCCUGAUGGUAAAUGAGUCCACCGAGGUGUGCAAUUGUUUUGAUUGAUUGACUUAAAAAAUGUGUUUAUGAUGCCUGUAAUGUACUUGUUAUUUUAUCUUGUAGUUUUUCCUUUUAUUUCAUGUCCUCGGGGCACCAUUGAAAAUGAGACCCUGUUCUCAAUUGGGCUCCCCUGAUCUUUUAGAGUCUAAGCCCUUACUGCUAUUAGCCCAUAAAAACACAUUAAAUAACAGAUUCAUACUGUACAUGGAAAAACAGUCAGAAAAUAAAUAAAAAUGACUUUUUUUAAAUUAAGUGUAUCAAGAUCCUCUUCCUGGAAAUGACUGGACCAAAGCGUAGCGUGGUACGUGUUCAUGAUAUUUUAUUAAAUUAGAACACUAGAACAAAAAUAACAAAGAGAAAAACGGACAGUUCUGUAAGGAUACUAAACUAUACAGAAAACAACUACCCACAAAACACAGGUGGGAAAAGGCUGCCUAAGUAUGUUUCCCAAUCAGAGACAACAAUAGACAGCUGCCUCUGAUUGAGAACCACACCUGGCCAAACACAAAGAAAUAGAAAACAUAGAAAUAAAGAAACUAGAAUGCCCACCCUAGUCACACCCUGGCCUGACCAAAAUAGAGAAUAAAAGCCUCUCUAUGGCCAGGGCGUGACAAAGUGUCUGACUUAUAAAUGUAUGAGUGAUAUAAGAAAGAUCAGGAAAUUAUUUUCAUUUUUUGGAACCAUAUUUAACAACAACCAAAAAAUCUCUUAACUACAAUGAACAAAAAAAAUGAAUAUUCCAUUCUCUGACAAGAGCUCUGGUGGACAUUCCUACAGUCAACAUGCUAAUUGCAUACUCUCUCUAAACUUGUGAAAUCUGUGGCAUUGCUUUGUGUGACUAAACUGCACAUUUUAGAGUGGCCUUUAUUUUCCCCCAGCACAAGGUGCACCUGUGCAAUGAUCAUGCUGUUUAAUCAGCUUCUUGAUAUGCCACACCUGUCAGGUGGAUAGAUUAUUUUGGCAAAGGAGAAAUGCUCACCAAAAGGAAUGUAAACAAAUCUGUUCACAAAAUCUGAGAGAAAUAAGCUUUUUGUGCUUAUGGAACAUUUCUGGGAUCUUUUAUUUCAGCUCAUGAAACUCAUAAAGUUUGUCACAUGUUUCAUGAGCUGAAAUAAAAGAUCCCAGAAAUGUGUGUGUAUAUGUGUGUAUAUAUAUAUAUAUAUAUAUAUAUAUAUAUAUAUAUAUAUAUAUAUAUAUAUAUAUAUACACAUUUCCCCAUGGGGACAAUAAAGUAAGUAAGUAAACACACAUACACUUAGUGUACAAAAAAUUAGGAACACCUGCUCCUUCCAUGACAUAGACUGACCAGGUGAAAUCUAUGAUCCCUUUUUGAUGUCCACUUCAAUCAGUGUAGAUGAAGGGAAUCGACAGGUUAAAGAAAACAUGUUAAGCCUUGAGACAAUUGAGAUAUGGAUUGUGUGCCAUUCAGAGGGUGAAUAGGCAAGAAAAAAAAAAUUAAGUUGCCUUUGAAUGGGUUAUGGUAGUAGGUGCCAGGCACAUUGGUUUGAGUGUGUCAAGAACUGCAACGCUGAGUGGUUUUUCACUCUCAAAAGUUUCACGUGUGUAUCAGGAAUGGUCCACCACCAUUAGGACAUCCAGCCAACUUGACACAACUGUGGGAAGCAUUGGAGUCGACAUGAGCCAGCUUCCCUGUGGAAUGCUUUCGACACUUUGUAGAGUCCGUGACCCGAAGAAUUGAGGCUGUUCUGAGGGCAAAAGGGGGUGCAACUCAAUAUUAAGAAGGUGUUCCUAAUGUUUUGUAUACUCAGUGUAUACUUCCAUUCAUUUAUAAAACUGGUACCGGGCUACUUUCAGACGAGUCAUGUGAGGCUUGUGGGCGUCCUAAUGCAAAACGAAAUGUACGUGUUUGUGAGAGCCACCAUUGUUGGAUGUGGUGGAUUGAGACGCAGCCCAUGUAAAAAAAACAGAUGUCUCUAGCUUAAACACACAGAUUUUGAUGGUGAUUUUUUUAUUAUGUUAAUUAGAUUUCCUCGGGGGUAGGGACCGCGACUCUAGGGGGUUGAAUUAAAGUUAAUAAAAAAAUGAAAUAUGUUUAGGGGAAGGGUUAGCUAACUUACUAAGUAGUUACAAUGUAGCUAAAAAGUAGUAAGUCGUUGCAAAGUAGCUAAAAUGCUAAAGUUGUCCAUGGUGAAAUUCGAACACACAACCUUUGUGUUACUAGACAUUUGUGUUAUAUGCCCGCCCAGACCAACUACCCUCCUUUCAAUUUUGCUUUAAGUAACCUGUUGUCUUAUGUAACCAUACCAAAUGUAACAUAUCAAACUAAUUAGUUUACUAUGUUACGUCUAGUCUAUGAGACCCGCCUGCACAAUGGGCUGCAUUCAGGCCAGUGCUGUUCCUCCUUUCCUCUCUUCUUCUCUGGUCUGUCUGCUCAAGUGUCCUGCUCCUAAUUAGCCUUCCAGACUUACUGUAGCACUCCACAACUCAGCCACCGAGCCACUGGGUGUGUCCCAAAUGGCACACUAUUCUAUAUAUAGUGCUUAGGGCUCUGGUCAAAACUAGUGCAUUACAUAAGGAAUAGGGUGUCAUUUGGGACGCACACACCGAGACUACUUACUCCUCCUGACUCCCAUAAAACAUCAAGGGACGCGAUUAAUAGUAUCAGCCUGGCUGAGCUAAUGUAGAAAAUUAGCAAAACAUCAAAAAUAUGUGGUUAAGAAAUCUUCACUCCUGUGAUGUAAGCAGUACCAGCUGUGACUGAGGGUUACUGUGGGAGCACAGACAGACAGAGAGAGAGAGAGACAGAGAGUGAACUUUGACUUGAUUACUCUGAGGGAACUCCUUCCAAAUAUUCCAACAACGAGGAGCUGGGCCAAGGCUGAGACAUAGUAUCAAAACGAUUCAAAACAAAUAAAUACCCGGUGAUUAAUGGCACUUUUAUUGCUCAUGCAGACACACUUUACGACCUUUCAAAAAACAUACCGUAUAUGACAACAGAUUUUUAGGAAACAUUUAAAUGAGAAGCAUUUGGUAAUCUAAACAAGCAGAUGCUCAGCUCAGGCCAUUUAUGUUUGGUAAUCUCUCUGUUUCGUUGUUUCUGUAACACACACACACACACACACACACACACACACUCUCUAUAUCUCGCAGUCUUUACUCUCUCUCUCUCUCUCUCUUUCUGUUAAAUGUUUUGAUUUGGAGGUCGCUGACUGAAAAGGAUAUGCAUAACUAACAUCAUUAAACAAAUGUUGCAUGUUCCGCUGAAGGAAAGGAAUUUAUGAGACACAACUCCCCUACAUGUUUUAGCCAUCGGUGGGUAGGGGCAGAGGCAGACCCACUGCUGCCUGGGAGUUCUUAAAAAUAAAAAGAUAUGUUCCUCUUG